AUAUAACCUCAAGGUUACCUCGCGAAGCGAAUGGGAACGUGAUUCUUUAAUAGUAAUAUCUUGGCUCUCGCGCUGUCUACAAUAUUUAUUGAAGAGCAACGUCAAGCUAAAUAUAACACUAUUCAGAAUCAGGAUUUCCCACGAUUCGCGGCAUGUCCAUAUACUCUCACAAUCAGCAGGCUACUGCGUGGAUAUCUAUACGUAUAAACGUAUACAUUUUUCCCAAUGCUGUCAAUUGUAACUCUUCGCCUCUUCCAGCGGUCCACGGUGGUUGCUCACCAUUA